rnacentral:rRNA from 1 species
UACAGAGGUCUCAAGCGUUGUUCGGAUUCAUUGGGCGUAAAGGGUGCGUAGGCGGCGCGGUAAGUCGGGUGUGAAAUCUCGGGGCUUAACUCCGAAACUGCAUUCGAUACUGCCGUGCUUGGGGACUGGAGAGGAGACUGGAAUUUACGGCGUAGCGGUGAAAUGCGUAGAUAUCGUAAGGAAGACCAGUGGCGAAGGCGGGUCUCUGGACAGUUCCUGACGCUGAGGCACGAAGGCCAGGGGAGCAAACGGG